rnacentral:rRNA from 1 species
AAUGGGGGAAACCCUGAUGCAGCGACGCCGCGUGGAGGAAGAAGGUCUUCGGAUUGUAAACUCCUGUUGUUGAGGAAGAUAAUGACGGUACUCAACAAGGAAGUGACGGCUAACUACGUGCCAGCAGCCGCGGUAAAACGUAGGUCACAAGCGUUGUCCGGAAUUACUGGGUGUAAAGGGAGCGCAGGCGGGAAGACAAGUUGGAAGUGAAAUCCAUGGGCUCAACCCAUGAACUGCUUUCAAAACUGUUUUUCUUGAGUAGUGCAGAGGUAGGCGGAAUUCCCGGUGUAGCGGUGGAAUGCGUAGAUAUCGGGAGGAACACCAGUGGCGAAGGCGGCCUACUGGGCACCAACUGACGCUGAGGCUCGAAAGUGUGGGUAGCAAA